rnacentral:rRNA from 1 species
GAUGAACGCUGGCGGCGUGCUUAACACAUGCAAGUCGAACGGAAAGGCCCAAGCUUGCUUGGGUACUCGAGUGGCGAACGGGUGAGUAACACGUGGGUGAUCUGCCCUGCACUUCGGGAUAAGCCUGGGAAACUGGGUCUAAUACCGGAUAGGACGAUGGAUUGGAUGCUAUUGUGGAAAGUUUUUCUGGGGUGGGGUGAGCUCGCGGGCUAUUAGCUUGUUGGUGGGGUAUUGGCCUCCCCAGGCGUCGACGGGUAGCCGGCCUGAGGAGGUGUACGGCCACAGUGGGAGUGAGAGACGGGCCAGACUCCCACGGGGGGCAGCAGUGGGGAGUAUUGUGCAAUGUGGGCGAGACUGAUGCGGCGACGCCGCGUGGGGGAUGACGGCCUUCGGGGUGUAAACUCCUUUCGCUGGGGACGAGGCGUUUUUGUGACGGUACCUGGAGAAGAAGCGCCGGCUAACUACGUG